ACUUAAGAGUUAUCAUUCAAAAUCGAGACAUCAUACCCAGCUACCAGGAGGGAAGUCAAUAGAGGAAACAUCAUAAGGAAAUUACAGAAUCUUAGUACUACAGUAACUCUUGCAAACUCUAGUUCCAUAAUACUACAGGCACAAAUACAAGGCAUAAGAUUAAUAGGGGACAAAG